GUGGAUCUGGCGCGGCCUCUCGCGAGCCUUAAAAGGAGCAGCAGGCGGCCGCCUUUCGCCAGCACCAGGAGGGAGGCCUGCGGGAACUACGCCACCCAGCGUGCAGCGGGCGCGCUCCCGGCAUGCGCGGCGGCCGUGUUCCCGCCGCCCCGCCGCCGCUCGCCGCUCGCCGCCCGCCGCCCGCCGCGGCGCUGCCCUCGGGCUCCGUCCCUCCUCCCGCCGCGGCCUUCGGGCUCCCGGAGCACCGGGGGGGCCGAUCGCGGAGUGGAUCCUAUCAAGACUCAGAUCAACAAAGUGGAUUCUAAAUUUCUUCAGCACUUUAUAUGCGGUUGUUUCCUUUAGUGAUCCCAGGACUCCAGGACUCCAGGACUCAACAGCAGUUUAUGCACAUGGCUGAGAUUUAUUACCGCAGGGGCUGGCCCCAUGGCUGAGUGGUUAAGUUCGCGCACUCCACUUUGGUGGCCCAGGGUUUCGCUGGUUUGGAUCCUGGGCGUGGACCUAGCACUGCUCAUCAAGCCAUGCUGAGGUGGCGUCCCACAUAGCACAACCAGAAGGACCUGCAACUAGAAUAUACAACUAUGUACUGGGGGCUUUGCGGAGAAGAGGAAAAAGAAAAAAAAAAGUAAGAUCUAUUACAGCAAAGGAUAGAGAACAAAAGAAACGGAAAAAGAAGCAUUGGUGAAGUCCAGAGAGGUUCAGCACAGGACUCCAAUGUCCUCUGUCUAAGCUACACAGGACUCGUCCUCUCUCUCUAGCAGCAAACUACAGCAGGGUCACGCGUUAGGCCAUUCGCAUAACCGUAGAGUGGGAUUCCUACCCUCACUGGUGAGUGAAGAGGAGGCAGUUAAAACAAACAGCAAUGGAAAGUGGAGGAGAAAUCCCAGAAAGGAGAAGACCACAGAGAGGGAGCCUUAAAGCCUGUGUAGAAACUGCCCAGAUCUCUAGCUAACCCCUAAACUACACACAUGCAGGGUGGACUCUAAGCCCAGAUAAAGUGAACUGCACUGAGCUUGAGUUUAGCUAAGUUAACUGCCUGCUGAAACAAAAAAUCGCUGCUCCUUAGAGAAGCAUAUCAGAACUGAGCAUCUCUUGAAGUAGAUCAUUCACGAUGUCCAGGAUUGUAGCUAAAGUUACUACACAUGUGGAGAAAAUGUGACCCAAAAGUCAAUCAAGGGAGACCAGCCCCAAGAUGAGCCAGAUGUUGGAAUUAGAGACAAGGAUUUUAAAGCAGCUGUCAUAACUGUGCUUAAGGACUUUAAAGAAAAUUUACUCAUAAUGAAUGAAAAUAUAGGAAAUCUCAGAAGAGAAAAGAAAUUUUAAAAGAACUAAAAGGUAAUUCUGGAACUGAAAAGUACAACAUCUGAAAUAAAAUUUUCACUGGGUAGCCUUAAGAUCAGAGUGGAAAUACUAGAAGAAAGUGUCUGUGAAUUUGAAGGUAGAUCAACAGAAAUUGUUCAGAGAGGAAAAAGCCUGUAAAAUAAAAUAACGAAGAGUACCUCAGGGACCUAUAAGAUAAUACAAAAAAAAUCUAACAUGUGGGGUUCCAGAAGGAAAAGAGAAUGGGGCAUAAAAAAUUUUUGAAGAAAUAUGGCUGAAAUUUCCCCAAAUUUGGUGAAAAGUAUAAAUUACUAGAUUCAAGAAGCUUGUUGAAUCACACCUAGGUACAGUCGAAUGGCUGAAAAUCAAAAGCAAAGAGGAAAUUUUGAAAGUAGCCAAAGAAAAUGUUAUAGGAAGGGAACAAAGAUUUGAAAUACUACUGACUUAGCAGAAUCAAGUGAAAUGACAUCUUUAAAGUGCUAAAAGAAAAAAUAUCCUUCAAGAUGAAAUUAAAUGAAAAUAUUCCUCAAGAAUGAAGGCAAAGUAAAGAUGUUUUCAUUUAAAAGAAAACUAAGAGAAUUUGUCACCAGCAGACCUGUACUGCAAAAAAUGUUAAGUGAAGUUCCUUAGAUAGAAGGGAAAUAAUGCUGGACGGGAACUUGGAUGUUCAAGAAGGAAUGAAGAGCACCAGAAAAGUACUUAUAAAAGGUGGAGGAAGAGGAUCAUGAGCCAAGGAAUGCUAGCAGCCUGCGGAAGCUGGAAGAGGAUGCAGACUCUCCCUCGGAGCCUCCAGAAAUGAGUGCCCAGCUGCCAAAGCCUUGAUCUAAGCCCAG
ensembl:lncRNA